rnacentral:rRNA from 1 species
AACGAACGCUGGCGGCAGGCUUAACACAUGCAAGUCGAGCGCCCCGCAAGGGGAGCGGCAGACGGGUGAGUAACGCGUGGGAAUCUACCUUUUGCUACGGAAUAACUCAGGGAAACUUGUGCUAAUACCGUAUGUGCCCUUCGGGGGAAAGAUUUAUCGGCAAAGGAUGAGCCCGCGUUGGAUUAGCUAGUUGGUGGGGUAAAGGCCUACCAAGGCGACGAUGCGUAGCCGACCUGAGAGGGUGAACGGCCACACUGGGACUGAGACACGGCCCAG